CAAUGCCUGCCCAGUGACAUGUUAAACGGCCACGGUAUCCUAACCGUGCAAAGGUAGCGUAAUCACUUGUCUUUUAAAUAAAGACUAGAAUGAAUGGCCAAACGAGGUUCCACCUGUCUCUUACAAACAAUCAGUGAAAUUGAUCUUCCUGUGCAAAAGCAGGAAUAAUUAUAUAAGACGAGAAGACCCUGUGGAACUUCAAAUAUCCAUCAACUAUAACAAUAUACACCUACAGGUUUAUAAUCACACGUACUGAUACAUAUUUUGGGUUGGGGCGACCUCGGAGUAUAGCAAAACCUCCGAAAACAGAACAUAAAUUCUACACCUAGACCUACAUCUCAAAGUGCCUACGGCAAAAAGAUCCAAUAUAAUUGAUCAAUGAACCAAGCUACCCCAGGGAUAACAGCGCAAUCUCAUCUUAGAGCCCUUAUCAAUGAUGGGGUUUACGACCUCGAUGUUGGAUCAGGACAUCCUAAUGGCGCAGCCGCUAUUAAGGG
rnacentral:rRNA from 1 species